AGUCAGUGUAUGUGAAGGACAUCGUGAACAAGGCAUAAUAAUCCUUGUUUGUCCUAAGACUUCAUUAUCUUCCUUUGUGAAUAAUUGCAUUCAAUUCAUGAAAAAGCGGCCACCGUCCCUGCUUCCCCGAAUCCCAUACACAUACCAAGCAAGCGGAGCAAUCUGUAGUUAAGAUGACCUCACAAACAACAGGCAAUAAACAGACCAAACAACACCGAAGCGAAUGACAGCCUGAAUCCUCACAUCACAACGACCACGCACUCCCGGGAGCACUGACCACAAAAUCCCAACAACAUCACUACACAGUGCGUGUACAGUCAGUGUAUGUGAAGGACAUCGUGAACCAGGCAUAAUAAUCCUUGUUUGUCCCAAGACUUCAUUAUCUUCCUUUGUGAAUAAUUGCAUUUAAUUCAUGUAAAAUCGGCCUCCGUCCCCCUGCUUGCCCCGAAUCCCAUAUCCAUACCAAGCAAGCGGAGCAAUCUGUAGUUAAGAUGACCACACAAACAACAGACAAUUAACAGACCAAACAACACCGAAGCGAAUGACAGCCUGAAUCCUCACAUCACAACGACCACGGACUCCAGAGAGCGCUGACCACAAAACCCCCAACAACAUCACUACACAGGUAAUAAGCCUACCUAUAUUCAAACACCGACCACACAGAAAACACGCAUUCCAUUAAAAUCUGUGUAUUUUUAUGGGUCAAUACUAGUUGCGUGUGAAUAUUGUUUACAUUCAGUUGAUAUAAAGGUCAAGUGUGAAUAAGGCAUAAUAAUCCUUGUAUGCCCUCGAUGUUAAAGGUCUUUAUUUUUCAGUGCGUCUACAGUCAGUGUAUGUGAAGGACAUCAGUGAACAAGGAAUAAUAAUCCUUGUUUGUCCUAAAACUUCAUUAUGUUUCUUUGUGAAUAGUUACAUUCAAUUCAUGAAAAAGCGGCCAACAGCCUGCCUCUACUGAAACAAACACCGACCACAAAGAAAACACGCAAUCAACCAAAUUCUGUGUAUUUUCAUGGGUGAAUACUAGUUGCGUGUGGAUAUUGUUUACAUUCAGUUGAUAUAAAGGGCAAUUGUGAACAAGGCAUAAUAAUCCUUGUAUGUCGUUGAUGAUUGGCCUCUUUAUUUCUUUUAUUUCCAUGUGUUAAUACUAGUUAGAUACAUUUUCAAAUGUAAGAAUGCUAGUUGUAUUCAGUUCAUAGAAAGGUCAUGAGUGAAAAAGGCACAAUAAUCCUUGUAUGCCCUCUGUGUUGAAGGUCUUUAUUUUUCAGUGCGUGUACAGUCAGUGUAUGUGAAGGACAUUGUGAACAAGGCAUAAUAAUCCUUGUUUGUCCUAAGACUUCAUUAUCUUCCUGUGUGAAUAAUUGUAUUCAAUUCAUGAAAAAGCGGCCACCGUCCCUGCUUGCCCAGAAUCCCAUAUCCCUACGAAGCAAGCGGAGCAAUCUGUAGUUAAGAUGAUCAUUCAAACAACAGGCAAUAGACAGACCAAACACCGAAGCGAAUGACAGCCUGAGUCCUCACAUAAAAAACGACCACGGACUCCCGAAAUAAAAUUUAUUUAUUUUUUUUUUUUUUUUUUUCAAAGUAUGCAAAAACAUUGUAAACUCUAACAAGUUAAAUGUUCUAUUGAAUUUUAUACUUUCAAAAUAUAAUUUUGCUGAAAUUGCAUUGCAAGUAAACUUUCAAUCAUAACAUUUCACCUGUUAUUGGCUGAGGAUUAUUUCCAGAUGUUUUAUAAGAAACAAUAUUUUUCAAUGAAACAUAUCUAGCAGAAAACACAAAAGUUAACUCCUCUAUGCCACUAUGCUAUACAAGUACCAGAUAUAUUGAUUCUACAUUUAGAUUGGUUGUCAUGGGAAUACCACUAUUGGAUAUCUUUGACAGGAAAAUAAUGUGAUGGUUUUGAUCGAUUGAUUCAGGUUUUCCGCCGUUUGGCAAUAUUUCAGCCAUUUUACGACGGGAUGGUUUUGAAAAAAAAAAUCAACAUCAUUAACAUAUUUUAAGUUUAUUAAUACAUUUCUGAAUGUAUUUUCACAAUCUAAAUGGAACAAGGGUAGGAAGACAAUCUGGGCAGAUUUCACUUAUCCUAAAGGAAUCCAACUAAAACGUUUUACCGGACAUAAAUAUUUAUUUUUUUUAAAAAAAAUCUGCAGCCCCUGAUGAAACCAUUAAACUCCCAUAACAUAUAUCCACUGGUCAACAGCCCUCCUCGGUUAAACAGUCGACAUACACAGGAAACACUCGCGGAUACCCGACGGAAACGUGUUUAAUUUCAUGUGUGUGAAUACCAGUUUCAUUUCCCUAUUUGUGACUGUUAGUUACAUUGAGUUUAUUCCUUGUAUGUCCUUGGUGGUGGACCUAUUGCUGUUGAAUUUCCUGUGUGCGAGUACUCCUUACAUUCAGUUUAUAUGAAAGACAUCAGUGAGGAAGGCAUAAUACUUGUAUUUGUAUGUGUUUCCUUGUGAACGAAAGAUUGUUUACUAUGCACUACAAGAAACAAAUAACAGAUCUCGUUGUCUCCCUUGCACAGUUGUUUUUAAUAUUGAUUUGUUUUUGGAAAUAAAAAGAAAAUUGCA